rnacentral:rRNA from 1 species
GAUCAACGCUGGCGGCGUGCAUGAGACAUGCAAGUCGAACGGACGCUUACGGGCUUGCCUGUAAGCGUUAGUGGCGGACGGCUGAGUAACGCGUAGGUGACCUGCCCCGAAGUGGGGAAUAACUGCCCGAAAGGGUGGCUAAUACCGCAUGUGGUGGUGCGUUCGAUCGCACCAGUAAAGCCGCAAGGCGCUUCGGGAGGGGCCUGCGUCCGAUUAGCUCGUUGGUGGGGUAACGGCUCACCAAGGCGACGAUCGGUAGGUGGUCUGAGAGGACGAUCACCCAGACUGGGACUGAGACACGGCCCAGACUCCUACGGGAGGCAGCAGUCGGGAAUUUUGCGCAAUGGACGAAAGUCUGACGCAGCAACGCCGCGUGAGGGAUGACGGCCUUCGGGUUGUAAACCUCUUUUGUCAGGGACGAUGAUGACGGUACCUGGCGAAUAAGCCACGGCUAACUACGUGCCAGCAGCCGCGGUAAUACGUAGGUGGCAAGCGUUGUCCGGAUUUACUGGGCGUAAAGAGCGCGCAGGCGGUCGUUCAAGUCGCGUGUGAAAGCCCCCGGCUCAACUGGGGAGGGUCACGCGAUACUGAUCGACUGGAAGGCAAGAGAGGGUAGUGGAAUUCCCGGUGUAGUGGUGAAAUGCGUAGAUAUCGGGAGGAACACCAGUGGCGAAGGCGACUACCUGGCCUGUUCUUGACGCUGAGGCGCGAAAGCUAGGGGAGCAAACGGGAUUAGAUACCCCGGUAGUCCUAGCCGUAAACGAUGGACACUAGUGUUGGUGGUAUCAACCCCGCCAGUGCCGAAGCUAACGCAUUAAGUGUCCCGCCUGGGGAGUACGGCCGCAAGGCUAA